rnacentral:rRNA from 1 species
AAAUGGGGCGGGAUACCAUGCAGUCGAGCGGUAGAGAGAGCUUGUGUCUCUGGGUGACGAGGGACGGGUGAGUGAGCCUGUGAGGUGAUAGCCCGUGGGGGAGGGAUUCGGAUGCGGACGCUGAUACCGACCGCGUCCUACGGGAGAAAGCAGGAGGGGGUCCGGCCGUGCGCUCUCUAAUGAACGAAGGUCGGAUUAACUAGUUGGUGAGGGGGGGGAUGGCCCAGGUGACCAACCAUACCUGGCUGGAGAGGAAGAACGACCACCCUGGAACUGACUGACAGACCAGACUCAUACCGGAGGCAGGCGUGGGUGGGAAUGAUUGAUGAAUGGGCGCCUGAUCGAGGCAUGCCUGCCGUGUGUAUGAGGACUUCGGAUUGGUUGGAACUUACUUUUGGGGGGAAGGAAAGUUACGUAAUUAAUGAUUGUUUUGAUGUUACCUACCGAAUAAACACCGGCCGGCUCUGUGCCAGCAGCCGCGGGCGGUAAGAGGGUGCAAGCGUUAAUCGGAAUUACUUACUCGUAAAGCGCGCGCACGGUGGUUUGUUUGUUAAGGAUGUGAAUGAAAUCGGGGUCAACCUGCUGACUGCUGUCUUUACUGACUGGACUACUUGAGGCUUGAGGGAGGGUGGGUAUUACUCGUGGAGUGGCGAUGUGCUGCGAUAUAGAUCUGGAGGAAUAGUGGUGGACGAAGACGCCCUCGCUGGAACACUGACUGAUGCUCUGCGUAAAGAAAGCGUGAGCAACAAACAUGAUAUACCCAUCGCUGGUCCACGCACGUCGUAGACGACGUCUACUUGUAGGUAGCCUCCAUCGACGUAGUGGGCCGCAGCUACUACAGUCAAUUUAGACCGACCUGCUUGAGUACGUGACCGCCAGCGAUUGAUUAAUACCUCUGCAUGUAGAUGACGGGCCCGUCACCCAGCAGCCGCAAGCAUGCAUGUUGUAUUUACGUACGCAUGCGACGACGAGCAUUACGCUAGCUCUCAUCGUACAAUCUGGACGGUAUUCUAGAAAAUAGAUUUCGUUGCCGUUCAUUCAACGAUUCGAUGAAAGACAGCUGCAUGGCAUGUAGUUCAGCUAGCUCGCGUGCAUAGAAUGAUUGUGAGUUAAUCUUCACGAACGGAGGCCAUCGUUCAUUAAUUA